GGAAGUGAACACACAGCCCAUGUUAGCUAUGUGCCAGAGAUCCAUACUCAAGUGCUCCCUGGCUUCUGACCUGAGCCACUGCAGGCAUGUGGCUGCAUUUCCUGAAUCAAAGUCAAUCAGAGGACAGCUGAGUCACUAAUGUCAAAGAGGUAAAUGCAAGCCUAGGAUGUAUCAGAAGCGGUAUUUCCAAUGGAGACACACACACACUACUAAUGCCACUGGACAAAGCAUUAAUGAGAUCUCAUCAAAGCACUGUGUACACUUCUUCUCAUGUAUAUCCAAAACAUAUGAAUUCAAACUGCAACAUGUGCAGAAGAAAAGUUGAGAACCUGUCUUAUGAGAGGAGACUAGAAGACUGCAGAAGUUUCCCUGUCUAGACUGGCAAAAUGAAUGCUGAAUGGGAUAGCUAUCUACAAGUACAUCAGGGCAGUAAGCACCAGAAAGAAUAAAGGACUGUUUAACUGAAAGUAUGGUUAGAAGCAUAAAGGGGGAUGAACUAGCCAUUAUCAAGUCUGGGCUGCAAAAUUUAAAGAAGAGAACUAGAAGAGUAAGGUGAUGCAGGCCUUCCAGUACGACUGCUAGAAGCAAAAAAACCCCAAAACAAACAAACAACACCCCCUCCCCCCGAAAACACAACCAAAACUUUAGUAGAUUUAAGAUGAAGCUUGAAUAGUUUAUGUAAUGGAUUAUGUUCUUAGAUUGCCUAAGUUAGUUGUGGACCUUUACUCAGUGGCCCAGGAGGCUCCUUUUUAUUCUAUGCUGGGCAGUUAUUCUCCUAAUGCAGAAAGGAGCCAAAUACUGAGAAAUUUAGAAAUACUGACAUUCUGAAGGGUAAAUAUAGGAGACUCCACGAUAUUCAAUUACUGUCCUUAUAGACACUCAUAUACUGUAGUUUCUUUCUCAAUAAAAGUAUUAUGUAAUGUCAGUUUAAGACGUACAACACAUUAGUGAAAAGAAAUUCUCUGAUCUUAACCCUGCCUUGUACCAGGACAAUACUUAAUGCCAAGUCUACCCUUAUUUAUCUUUAGCUCAGAAAGGCAAAGCCAUUCAUUCAUUUAAUGUGUGAUUGUUGUUUUUUUUCAGGUACUAGUUUUCUGAGUUCUGCCAAACCUAGGUAUUGCUACUAGAUUCCAGGAUAAUUAGGUUAUUACUCAGAGUAGAAGACGACAAUAACAAACUGUCUGUGGCAGAUGGCUCUAUCAGUCAAUUAUGCAUUUACAACAGAGACAAAUGGACACUUAGAAGAACUUAUGGCAAAACGUGCUAAUGCCUAGUUAGCACAGUGCUAUUCCAGAACCUGUAUGCUCAUAGCAAAAAAGCAUCUCGCCUUUCUGUUCCUCCCAGCAGACAAAGCCCACCAUUUUGAUAUUAGCAUUCCCCUUCCUAGGGUCUAGAUUAUUAACAAGGUUCACAAAAGUACCAGUUCAGCCACUGCUGCUAACUCACAAUGCUUGGUGUAGGGUUUUUCCUUGUUGGGGCUUUUUCUCUUGCAAGAAUGUUUUUCCCACAUAUUCCUUUUCACCUCUCUCCUGCUCCCCACAGACCUGCAGCCUAGAUUCUGGCUGUAUUUUCUCAGACAAAUCAGAUCUCUCUUAGUUUUCUGUUUGAAGUCUCUUCGUCCCUCUCUGCAGCUUCUCUCAGCCCUUUGUCACUUGACCCCUUCCCACUUGACUCACUAAUCGAUCAGGGCUGGCUGGCCUCGAGCCUCUUGGAAUUUCAAGAGCGUGUUACAGUUUCAAUAACAGAAUAAUAACUAGCAUGCUUAUAGUACAACUUUCUAUUUUAGGGUCCAAAAUAAUGUGGCUGCCUCACCCACACCUGCAAAGCCUUAACAUAUUCAUAUUCUGAUAGGUAGACAGAGCCCUUGAGAAGUUAAGUGACCUGUCCAAAGUCAAACUGGUUGGCACUCACACUCUUAAGGGAGCUAGCACACGGGUGUUGAGGGGGUUACGUGGUAUUGAAGUGGCUUCUACUAGGCUUCUCCACUGGAAUGAUUUCACAUUUUGCGAGUCAAUGGCUAACCAUCACACACCUCUCUCUCCACAGCACUCAAGAUAACUGGGAGCUGCAGGUUUACAUACCCUUUCCUGCCCUCCAAUUAAUGUUAAGCCUCUUCUUAAGUCUCUUGAGCUAGUUCUAUCUCACUGAUUGCAAUAUUUUAUUUUUAUUUAUUAUACCCUUUUGCAUAUAGUCUUUACCCUAAGUGAAUUCUCUGCUGACUCUGAAAAUGUUCCUCUUGCUGGCAAAUAUGUAACCCUAUCUCUAUUAAUUAAUAAUGAGUUUUCUUAACUAUCUGGCUACAGCCUAUUCAAUAAGUGAAACUAAAGUUCUCAAAUUGUAAACUUCUUGAAGAACUAAUUAAAUCAGCAUUAACAGUA